rnacentral:rRNA from 1 species
AUUGAACGCUGGUGGCAUGCUUUACACAUGCAAGUCGAACGGUAACAGGCCUUCGGGUGCUGACGAGUGGCGAACGGGUGAGUAAUGCAUCGGAACGUACCCAGAGGUGGGGGAUAACGCAGCGAAAGCUGUGCUAAUACCGCAUGUGAUCUGAGGAUGAAAGCGGGGGACCGAGCAGCAAUGUUUGGCCUCGCGCCUUUGGAGCGGCCGAUGUCGGAUUAGCUAGUUGGUGGGGUAAAGGCCUACCAAGGCGACGAUCCGUAGCUGGUCUGAGAGGACGACCAGCCACACUGGGACUGAGACACGGCCCAGACUCCUACGGGAGGCAGCAGUGGGGAAUUUUGGACAAAGGGCGCAAGCCUGAUCCAGCAAUGCCGCGUGCGGGAAGAAGGCCUUCGGGUUGUAAACCGCUUUUGGCAGGAACGAAACGGUGUCCGCUAAUACCGGGCGCUAAUGACGGUACCUGCAGAAUAAGCACCGGCUAACUACGUG